GGGGUUGUGGCUCAGCGGUAGAGCACUUGCCUAGCACGUGAGAGGCCCUGGGUUCGAUCCUCAGCACCACA
rnacentral:tRNA from 1 species